rnacentral:lncRNA from 1 species
AUCUAAGCCAUUGAAAUUUUGGCGGGAAAAUAUUCUCUCUUGACUUUUCAUAGCUUUAUCAUUGACAAGUUAAAGUCCUCAAAAACUAUUAAAAAGUAAUUAAAAUUUUAAAAGACUUUAACAGACAGCUUAAAACUAUACAUGUAAAAGAAUUAUAAAAAGAAAAAUGGGGGUCACCGGGGAAAUUUUUUUAUACAUUCCAAUGGAUAAAACCAGAGGAUUCCGAAAAUCUGACCAAAAUUCCAAAACAUGACAAGCCAGUUUCCUUAAACU